AYYYAAAAACUCUAUGAGCGUCGGAUGUGGGUGUAUAAACAUACAAAAUUCACACAGCUUUUAAAGGAAAAUAGUUAUUCCCCUGGUCUUAGGAUCCAGCACUUCUUGGCGCAUUUCCAAGUAAAAGCUACUUACUACACACCACGGAACUAAAAACCCUGUAAGUACAAAGAUUUGGUCCUAAUCUUAAUAUCAACUAGUACCUAAUUUACACAUGCAAGUCUCAGCAACCCAGUGAGAACUCCCUUAAGCCUAUCAAGGAAAAGGAGCUGGUAUCAGGCACAGAUUCCUAGCCCAUAACACCUAGCACCGCCACACCCCCAAGGGCACUCAGCAGUGAUAAACAUUGUUAGUAAGCGUCAGCUUGACUCAGUUAACGUACAAAAAGCCGGCCAACCUGGUGCCAGCCGCCGCGGCUACACCAUUGGGCUUAAGUUGAUAACUACGGCGUUAAGCGUGUUUUAAGUACACAAAAAUUAGAGUUAAAUAUAAACUUAAACUGUAACACGUAUACCCCUCGCAGAAACACAAAACGAAAGUUACUCUAAUAAUCACUUGAAUCCACGACAAUUAAGAAACAAACUGGGAUUAGAUACCCCACUAUGCUUAAUCGUAAAAUAUUUACCCACACCUCAACCGCCAGAGCACUACGAGUAACUAACUUAAAACUCAAAGGACUUGACGGCGUCUCACCUACCUAGAGGAGCCUGUUCUAUAAUCGAUACCCCCCGAUACACCUAACCACUUUUUGCUAAUCAGUCUGUAUACCUCCGUCGCAAGCUUACCAUAUGAAUGUUAAUUAGUAAGCAAAAAGGUCACCACACCAAUACGUCAGGUCAAGGUGCAACCCACAAAGUGGUAAGAAAUGGGCUACACUUUCUAAUUUAGAAGAUACGAAUAGUCAUAUGAAAAAUGACAAUGAAGGCGGAUUUAGUAGUAAGGGGCAAAUAGAGCGUGCCCCUUAACCCAGCAAUGAGACGUGUACACACCGCCCGUCACCCUCUUCAAUCAAACAACUUUAGUUUAUAACACCCCACAACACUAAAGAAGAGGUAAGUCGUAACAUGGUAAGUAUACUGGAAAGUGUACUUGGAAUAACAAAAUAUAGCUUAACCAAAGCACUUCGCUUACACCGAAUCAAUAUCUGUUCAAACCAGAUUAUUUUGAGCCAUAAACUCCGCCUACAAACUCAACAUAUAAUAAACAACAUAAAACAUUUAAACAGUCUAGUAGAGGUGAUCGAAAACCUUAAUAAGAGCCACAUAUACAGUACCGCAAGGGAAAAGUGAAAUAGAAGUUAAAUAAACUAAAAGCCCAUAAAAGCAGAGAUUAACGCUCGUACCUUUUGCAUCAUGGUCUAGCUAGUCUAAACAGACAAAUUAUGAUAUUUAGCCUGUGCCCCCGAAACCCAGCGAGCUACUCAAAAACAGCUAUUAGAGCCAACUCAUCUCUGUUGCAAAAGAGUGAGAAGAUUUUUAAGUAGAGGUGACAUGCCUACCGAGCCGGGAGAUAGCUGGUUGCUCAAGAAAAGAACUUUAGUUCCACCUCAAAUUUAGAAUAUAAUAUCAAAUACAUUUGAGAGUUAUUCAAAUAUGGUACAGCCUAUUUGACCACGGAUACAACCUAAAAAUAAGGGUAAUGUGACCUCCUCCUCAUACCCAAGUUGGCCUAAAAGCAGCCACCUUUAAAAUAGCGUUAAAGCUUAAUUAAAUAUUUUUAACAAUAACUCCCCCCACACUAAACCCUACCUCAAUAUUGAGCAUUUUUAUAAUUUAUAAACGUUAUUAUGCUAGAACUAGUAACAAGAAACCCUUCUCCUAAGUGUAAGUAUAUCUCAAACUUGAUCUUUACUACUAUAAAUGUAACAACCCUUUCCAGAAACCCUUACCAAUUCUACUAUUAAACUUACACAAGAACACUACAGGAAAGAUUAAAACAAAAAGAAGGAACUCGGCAAACCUUAGUCUCGCCUGUUUACCAAAAACAUCACCUCUUGACUAAUUAUAAGAGGCCCAGCCUGCCCAGUGAUCAUUUAAACGGCCGCGGUAUCCUAACCGUGCAAAGGUAGCACAAUCACUUGUUCUUUAAAUAAGGACUAGUAUGAACGGCAUCACGAAGACUAUACUGUCUCCUUUCUUCAAUCAGUGAAACUGAUCUUCCCGUGAAGAAGCGGGAAUUAUAAUAUAAGACGAGAAGACCCCAUGAAGCUUCAAAUUAAAUACUAACUACCACCGCAACACCACUAAAACCUGGUAGAUAUAAUUAUUAAUUUUAGGUUGGGGUGACCACGGAGCACAACAAAACCUCCACAAUGAAAAGGCCUAACCCCCUUAUUCAAGAACAACAAUUCUAACAAUCAACAUAUUGACAUACAUUGACCCAAAUUUUUGAUCAAUGAACCAAGUUACUCUGGGGAUAACAGCGCAAUCCAUUUCAAGAGCCCCUAUCGACAAAUGGGUUUACGACCUCGAUGUUGGAUCAGGGUAUCCCAGUGGUGUAGCCGCUACUAAAGGCUCGUUGUUCAACGAUAAAANC
rnacentral:misc_RNA from 1 species